rnacentral:rRNA from 1 species
GACGUAGGGUGCAAGCGUUGUCCGGAUUUACUGGGCGUAAAGCGCGCGUAGGCGGCUCGUUAAGUGUGAAGUGAAAUCCCUGGGCUCAACUCAGGAACUGCUUUACAUACUGGCGAGCUUGAGGGAUGCAGAGGUCUGUGGAAUUCCUGGUGUAACGGUGAAAUGUGUUGAUAUCAGGAGGAACACCCAUGCGAAGGCAGCAGACUGGGCAUCGCCUGACGCUGAGGUGCGAAAGCGUGGGUAGCAAACAGG